ACGUGGUCGCUUUGCUCCCGCAGUCAUGCACUUGGGUGAAAACAGACUGAAGAGUCACGGGAACCAGCUUGUCUCCCCAGUUAUGGCGCAGAGCUGCAAGGAUGGCUGUGGGUCAUUAAUUUCUCCGUGGCUGACCUGUGUUUGUAACGCCGCAGCUGUUGCGAGGGGGAAGGACACUGCUUCGGAUUCAAAUUCUGACUCCUUGCUGCAGUGUGUCACCUUGAGCCAGUCCCAGAUCUCUGCGUUCUCACAAUUGUAAAAUGUUAACAGAGGCUGCCUACCUUGUGGCUGGAAUUAAAUGAAUUAACGUGUGUGAAUGUGACUAGAAUUCAGUACAUGUUCAGGAAAAGCUGAUUUCCGCUUUGCUGUUACCGUGAAUAUUACUGUUUUAGGGUGUAGAAAAGGGUGGAAGGGGAUGUUAUUGCAUCCUGGAAGCUUAUCCUUUUGAGGUCUGUGAUAGUAGGUAGCUCUUCAAGUUGGCAAACACCUGCUGGACAACCCCUGAGAGAUUCAUCUGAGUGAGAGAGCACUCUCCAGCCCCAUCGGAGUGGGUUUGCAGGGAAAUCAUAAGGAAGAAAUCCUUAUCUUUCCAACACUGAGAUGCUUCUGCCGAAGAGUAGAAUGGGAGUGAGGGGACACGCAAAACGGGCUGCUGCCGGAGGAAGAGGAACAGUGUUGUGGCUCAUGCCAUAUGAAUGGGCUCACUGGCCUGGCCCAGACCCUGACUGCCCACAGGAUCUUUGGUGAGUCACUGUCACUGAGCCUGUGAGCCUAGGGUCCCUCUCCAACCUCACCCUCAGAGAGGACAGAACAAGAUGACCUGUGGCAUGCUGCAGAACACCAUGUUGGGGACUGUGGGUUUAGAGUCCUCUUGGGGACAUGUCCAUCGUUCACUAAUUCGGUGGAGUUGAGCUGCUGAGAGCUAGGAAAGCUACUCUCCCCCCGGAUCCCAACCUAGCCCUGUGGAAGACCAGACAAAAGAAGGAAGCAAUGACAUUUCUGCACUUUUUAGUUCAGAGAGGCACAGUCAAGGAAAUGCAUUUGAGGUCACUGUUCGAUGUACUUGAAGUACUCAUCCUGGAAAUAGUCUACUUGGAGUAGAGGGAGCUCAAGUGGGCAUGGGAACGUUGUGGAACCAGACCAGGAACAAAGGCGGCUUCAGAGGCCGUCUGUGAGGACUUGCAUGGGAGCAGGGGCGAGAACAUCCAGGGAAGAGAAGGUAGGAGCCUUGGAGUAAAGGAGAACCAGCUCCUCUCCACCCACCAAUGCCCUCCCCAUCCCCAGAUGAAUGAGGUAAUAAUAAUACCUGUAGCUGGACAUGGUGGCUCAAGCUUGUAAUCCCAGCAUUUUGGGAGGCCAAGGCGGGUGGAUCACCUGAGGACGGGAGUUCGAGACCAGCCUAUCAACAUGGAGAAACCCUGUCUCUACUAAAAAUACAAAAAUUAGUUGGGCACGGUGGUGCAUGGCUGUAAUCCCAGCUACUUGGGAGGCUGAGGCAGGAGAAUCACUUGAACCCGGGAGGCGGAGAUUGCGGUGAGCCAAGAUCGUGCCAUUGCACUCCAGCCUGGGCAACAAGAGCAAAACUCCAUCUCAAAAUAAUAAUAAUAAUAAUAUCUGUGAUGCAGUUGAAUGCUUACUGUGUGCCAGGUACUAUUUCAGGUGCUCUGCAUGGAUUAUCUCAGGUGAUGCUCUCAAUAAAUCUCAGAUGAGGUAUUUUCCCCUUACUUUAUAGACAGAGAAACGGAGGCACAGAGAAGGAAGCGGCAGUUAAAGCUGCGAAGAACCUAACAAAUUUCAAGAUUGUAAGUGCCUUUUCCCAGGAUGCCAGCAAGUACUGAGCCUGUAUUUUGAGCUGCAUCAAACCCUGUUGGAAUAAAAAAGGACAUUUCUAGGAGAUCAGUCUUCGAGAUUGGCCCCAGUUUCCCCAGAGUAGGAAGAGGCAGGAAGCCAGAGCACAUGUUCUCUCCAGAAAUAAA
ensembl:lncRNA SLC20A1-DT SLC20A1 divergent transcript